GACGAACGCUGGCGGCGUGCUUAACACAUGCAAGUCGAACGGAAAGGCCCUGCUUUUGUGGGGUGCUCGAGUGGCGAACGGGUGAGUAACACGUGAGUAACCUGCCCUUGACUUUGGGAUAACUUCAGGAAACUGGGGCUAAUACCGGAUAGGAGCUCCUGCUGCAUGGUGGGGGUUGGAAAGUUUCGGCGGUUGGGGAUGGACUCGCGGCUUAUCAGCUUGUUGGUGGGGUAGUGGCUUACCAAGGCUUUGACGGGUAGCCGGCCUGAGAGGGUGACCGGCCACAUUGGGACUGAGAUACGGCCCAGACUCCUACGGGAGGCAGCAGUGGGGAAUAUUGCACAAUGGGCGGAAGCCUGAUGCAGCAACGCCGCGUGCGGGAUGACGGCCUUCGGGUUGUAAACCGCUUUCGCCUGUGACGAAGCGUGAGUGACGGUAAUGGGUAAAGAAGCACCGGCUAACUACGUGCCAGCAGCCGCGGUGAUACGUAGGGUGCGAGCGUUGUCCGGAUUUAUUGGGCGUAAAGGGCUCGUAGGUGGUUGAUCGCGUCGGAAGUGUAAUCUUGGGGCUUAACCCUGAGCGUGCUUUCGAUACGGGUUGACUUGAGGAAGGUAGGGGAGAAUGGAAUUCCUGGUGGAGCGGUGGAAUGCGCAGAUAUCAGGGGGAACACCAGUGGCGAAGGCGGUUCUCUGGGCCUUUCCUGACGCUGAGGAGCGAAAGCGUGGGGAGCGAACAGGCUUAGAUACCCUGGUAGUCCACGCUGUAAACGGUGGGUACUAGGUGUGGGGUCCAUUCCACGGGUUCCGUGCCGUAGCUAACGCUUUAAGUACCCCGCCUGGGGAGUACGGCCGCAAGGCUAAAACCCAAAGGAAUUGACGGGGCCCCGCACAAGCGGCGGAGCAUGCGGAUUAAUUCGAUGCAACGCGUAGAACCUUACCUGGGUUUGACAUGGAUCGGGAGCGCUCAGAGAUGGGUGUGCCUCUUUUGGGGUCGGUUCACAGGUGGUGCAUGGCUGUCGUCAGCUCGUGUCGUGAGAUGUUGGGUUAAGUCCCGCAACGAGCGCAACCCUUGUUCACUGUUGCCAGCACGUUAUGGUGGGGACUCAGUGGAGACCGCCGGGGUCAACUCGGAGGAAGGUGGGGAUGACGUCAAGUCAUCAUGCCCCUUAUGUCCAGGGCUUCACGCAUGCUACAAUGGCUGGUACAGGGAGUGGCGAGCCUGUGAGGGUGAGCGAAUCUCGGAAAGCCGGUCUCAGUUCGGAUUGGGGUCUGCAACUCGACCUCAUGAAGUCGGAGUCGCUAGCAAUCGCAGAUCAGCAACGCUGCGGUGAAUACGUUCCCGGGGCU
rnacentral:rRNA from 1 species